rnacentral:rRNA from 1 species
UACGGAGGGUGCAAGCGUUAUCCGGAUUCACUGGGUUUAAAGGGUGCGUAGGUGGGAUGGUAAGUCAGUGGUGAAAUCUCCAAGCUUAACUUGGAAACUGCCGUUGAUACUAUCAUUCUUGAAUCUCGUGGAGGUAAGCGGAAUAUGUCAUGUAGCGGUGAAAUGCUUAGAUAUGACAUAGAACACCGAUAGCGAAGGCAGCUUGCUACACGAGUAUUGACACUGAGGUGCGAAAGCGUGGGGAGCAAACAGG